CUCCCAGACUCCUACGGGAGGCAGCAGUGGGGGAUAUUGCACAAUGGGGGGAACCCUGAUGCAGCGACGCCGCGUGGGCGAUGGAGCGCCUCGGCGCGUAAAGCCCUAUCAGCAGGGAAGAGGAUGACGGCACCUGACUAAGAAGCCCCGGCUAAAUACGUGCCAGCAGCCGCGGUAAUACGUAUGGGGCAAGCGUUAUCCGGAUUUACUGGGUGUAAAGGGGGCGCAGACGGCGAUGCAAGCCAGGAGUGAAAGCCCGGGGCCCAACCCCGGGACUGCUCUUGGAACUGCGUGGCUAGAGUGCAGGAGGGGCAGGCGGAAUUCCUGGUGUAGCGGUGAAAUGCGUAGAUAUCAGGAGGAACACCGGUGGCGAAGGCGGCCUGCUGGACUGCAACUGACGUUGAGGCCCGAAAGCGUGGGGAGCAAACAGGAUUAGAUACCCCCGUA
rnacentral:rRNA from 1 species